UCAUAAAAGGGCAUAAACAAAAUUAAAAGAGUGGCAUUACGUGGUAAUAAGAAAAAUCAGACCACAUCUUUCGAUCCCCUUCUUUUUCUGCUUCUUCUUCUUCUACUAUUACUGCUGAUUCUCUAUCGUCCACAGUCUCCAAAGCAAACGUAAAAUUUCCCACCAAAACGAUGAACAAAUCAACCCAUUUCCCCUCAAUUUAGCAUUCUCAUCAGACCCAUUUUCUUUCUACUAUUGCCUUUAAUGGCCGCUUCAUCUCUUUCUAUUCUUCCAUCUCCCCUCACCUUUGAGCGUUUCUCUGCUUCUUCUUCUUCACCUUCAUCGUCUUCCUUCUUCCAUGGCGGAACCCAUCUCAGGUUCCACAAAAACUUCCUCUCUGUGCAUUCCUAUUCCUUUAACUCUUCUCCUUCUUCUCCCAAUUCCCAAUUUAAUAAAAGGGUCUCUUCGAGACGACGCCUAGGACUUGUUGUUAGUGCUUCUGGGGAUUAUUAUGCCACUCUCGGCAUCCCCAAAUCUGCUAAUAGUAAGGAAAUUAAGGCCGCUUAUCGGAAAUUGGCUCGUCAGUAUCACCCUGACGUCAAUAAAGAACCUGGGGCAACUGAGAAGUUUAAAGAAAUCAGUGCUGCUUACGAGGUUCUUUCAGAUGAUAAGAAGCGGGCUUUGUAUGAUCAAUAUGGUGAAGCGGGUGUUAAGAGUACAGUAGGAGGUUCUAGUGCUUAUACGACUAAUCCAUUUGAUUUAUUUGAGACAUUCUUUGGACCGAGCAUGGGAGGAUUUGGUGGUAUGGAUCCAACUGGGUUCCGCACACGUCGAAGUAGUACUGUUACUAAGGGUGAAGACAUACGUUAUGACAUCAAUUUAGGAUCUUCUGAAGCCAUAUUUGGAUCAGAGAAAGAAUUUGAGCUGUCCCAUCUGGAAACAUGUGAAGUUUGCACUGGCACUGGAUCUAAAGUAGGCUCCAAAAUGAGGAUAUGCUCAACAUGUGGAGGGAGAGGUCAAGUCAUGAGAACCGAGCAAACACCUUUUGGCUUGUUUUCUCAGGUCUCUGUUUGUCCAAAUUGUGGUGGCAAUGGUGAGGUCAUAUCUGAAUUCUGUCGGAAGUGUUCUGGUGAAGGGCGCAUCCGUGUUAAGAAAAACAUCAAGGUUAAAGUUCCUCCAGGAGUCAGUGCAGGCAGUAUCCUAAGAGUUGCAGGAGAAGGUGAUGCUGGACCCAGAGGGGGCCCUCCUGGAGAUCUCUUUGUGUAUCUUGAUGUUGAAGAGAUACCCGGAAUUCAAAGAGAUGGCAUCAAUCUUUACUCAACAAUAGCUAUAAGUUAUCUGGACGCCAUUAUGGGAUCUGUUGUCAAGGUAAAGACGGUUGAAGGUAUGGCUGACCUUCAAAUUCCACCUGGUACUCAGCCUGGUGAUGUUCUUGUUCUUGCGAAGAAAGGUGUUCCAAAACUAAAUAAGCCAUCAAUUCGAGGAGACCACUUAUUCACAAUCAAAGUAACCAUACCAAAUCGUAUCAGUGAAAAAGAGCGAGAAUUGCUUGAAGAACUUGCUUCACUGAGCAACAAUGCUGGGACUGGGAGCCGUUUCAGAACUCGCCAAAAAUCCCAACCACAACCAACUAAUUUGAUUGCAUUUGCAGAUACAAGUACAGAAAAUGAGGUCAAGACAGUUGCUAAUACUACUGAAUCUGCUGAUGAUGGGGACUCAAAUGAUCUAUGGAAAAAAGUACAAGAUUUUGCUGGGUCUAUAGCUCAAGGAGCUCUAAAAUGGCUGAAAGAUAACCUUUAGGCAAUCUCGAGUUUGGCUUCGGCUUUGUUUGAAACCUAACUAAACAAGUCUUUGUUCAACCUCCUUGGCUCUAGAUCUCUACUCCUACCCAAAAAUGGCUCAAAGACACUUUCUGGCAAUUUUCCUGAGUUGUUUCUUCAUGCGUCCUCCAGAGGUGACCAUUGUGCUCAGAGUGGAUGUUCAUAACUUGCAUAGAAAAAAUGGAGAAGAUGCCAUUUUGAAGUUGAAGUUGAAAUUGAGAUAUCUGUGCAUCCUGUUCAUUGUGUGAUUAAUAUUGAUGUUUAGCCGUUUCGAUGGAUCAACUGAUUGAAUGUUUUAGUAUGGUGUAGCGACCAAAUAAAUCCGGACUUGAAACUUCUACUUUUUA